GGGGAUACCACUUGGAAACAGGUGCUAAUACCGGAUAAGAAAGCAGAUCGCAUGAUCUAAGCUUUUAAAAGGCGGCGUAAAGCUGUCGCUAUGGGGAUGGCCCCCGCGGUGCAUUAGCUAGUUGGUAAGGUAAAGGCUUACCAAGGCGAUGAUGCAUAGCCGAGUUGAGAGACUGAUCGGCCACAUUGGGACUGAGACACGGCCCAAAACUCCUACGGGAGGCAGCAGUAGGGAAUCUUCCACAAUGGACGCAAGUCUGAUGGAGCAACGCCGCGUGAGUGAAGAAGGUUUUCGGAUCGUAAAGCUCUGUUGUUGGUGAAGAAGGAUAGAGGUAGUAACUGGCCUUUAUUUGACGGUAAUCAACCAGAAAGUCACGGCUAACUACGUGCCAGCAGCCGCGGGUAAU
rnacentral:rRNA from 1 species